rnacentral:rRNA from 1 species
UGCGUAGGGGGCUAGCGUUGUCCGGAUUUAUUGGGCGUAAAGAGCGUGUAGGCGGCCAGGUAGGUCUGGUGUGAAAACUCGAGGCUUAACCUCGAGAUGUCAUCGGAAACCAUCUGGCUAGAGUCCGGAAGAGGAGAGUGGAAUUCCUGGUGUAGCGGUGAAAUGCGCAGAUAUCAGGAAGAACACCAAUGGCGAAAGCAGCUCUCUGGGACGGUACUGACGCUGAGACGCGAAAGCGUGGGGAGCGAACAGG